UACGAAGGGUGCAAGCGUUACUCGGAAUUACUGGGCGUAAAGCGUGCGUAGGUGGUUUGUUAAGUCUGUUGUGAAAGCCCCGGGCUCAACCUGGGAAUGGCAAUGGAUACUGGCAAGCUAGAGUGCGGUAGAGGGUAGUGGAAUUCCCGGUGUAGCGGUGAAAUGCGUAGAGAUCGGGAGGAACACCAGUGGCGAAGGCGACACCCUGGACCAGCACUGACACUGAGGCACGAAAGCGUGGGGAGCAAACAGG
rnacentral:rRNA from 1 species